AUUGAACGCUGGCGGCAGGCCUAACACAUGCAAGUCGAGCGAGCGGCGGACGGGUGAGUAAUGUCUGGGAAACUGCCUGAUGGAGGGGGAUAACUACUGGACACGGUAGCUAAUACCGCAUACCAUCAGAUGUGCCCAGCUGGGAUUAGCUAGUAGGUGGGGUAAUGGCUCACCUAGGCGACGAUCCCUAUCUGGUCUGAGAGGAUGACCAACCGCCAUAGGACUGAGACACGGUCCAGACGCCUGCGGGAGACAGCAGUGGGGAAUGUUGCACUAUCGGCGGAAGCCUGAUGCAGCGAUGCCGGGUGUGUGAAGAAGGCCUUCGGGUUGUGGAGUACUUUCAGCGGGGAGGCGUUACCCACAGAGGAAGCACAGGCUAACUCCGUGCCAGCAGCCGCGGUAAUUC
rnacentral:rRNA from 1 species